rnacentral:rRNA from 1 species
CACUCGUGUCGUGAGAUGUUGGGUUAAGUCCCGCAACGAGCGCAACCCUUGCCAUUAGUUGCUACGGAUAGGGCACUCUAAUGGGACUGCCGGUGACAAACCGGAGGAAGGUGGGGAUGACGUCAAGUCCUCAUGGCCCUUAUGGGUAGGGCUACACACGUCAUACAAUGGCCGGUACAGAGGGCAGCCAACCCGCGAGGGGGAGCCAAUCCCAAAAAACCGGUCGUAGUCCGGAUUGCA